GAGCCAGCCAGUUAAUCUGCUUUUCUCCAUGUGCUUCUGCAGAUACUUAGAAAAGGCAGGCAAUAGUGAUGCCAUGUUACGAGCCUUAAGGACAGCUGAAGUCCUUAAGGUCCCUGAAAAUGGCUACAGUA